rnacentral:rRNA from 1 species
UCGAGGGGCAGCGCGGGUAGCAAUACCUGGCGGCGACCGGCGCAAGGGUGCGUAACGCGUGAGCAAUCUGCCCGUGUCAGGGGGAUAAGCGAUGGAAACGUCGUCUAAUACCGCAUAACAACGGUCACGGCAUCAUGACCGUUUGAAAGAUACGUCGGACACGGAUGAGCUCGCGAGACAUUAGCUGGUUGGCGGGGUAACGGCCCACCAAGGCUGCGAUGUCUAGGGGAACUGAGAGGUUGGUCCCCCACACUGGAACUGAGACACGGUCCAGACUCCUACGGGAGGCAGCAGUGAGGAAUAUUGGACAAUGGUCGGAAGACUGAUCCAGCCAUGCCGCGUGGAGGUUAAGGUCCUAUGGAUUGUAAACUCCUUUUGAGAGGGAGCAAUAAGUGUCACGCGUGACACGAUGAGAGUACCUUUCGAAUAAGCAUCGGCUAACUCCGUGCCAGCAGCCGCGGUAAUACGGAGGAUGCGAGCGUUAUCCGGAUUUAUUGGGUUUAAAGGGUGCGUAGGCGGUUUUGCAAGUCAGCGGUGAAACGCACGGGCUUAACCUGUGACCUGCCGUUGAAACUGCGGGACUGGAAUGCGGAUGCUGUGGGAGGAAUGUGUGGUGUAGCGGUGAAAUGCAUAGAUAUCACACAGAACACCGAUUGCGAAGGCAUCUCACAAAUCCGUGAUUGACGCUGAGGCACGAAAGUGUGGGGAUCAAACAGGAUUAGAUACCCUGGUA